AACAGAGGAAGCCCGAUGAAUAAUGAUGCGUGAAUUUUGCGAGAAAAAUGAGGGAGAAAAAAGCGAUGUGUUGACAGCAUGGAGAGAUUAAAUUAGCAGCUGCAGCGCCGGGAACAUUGAAUCAUAUUAAGGAUCAGCAGCAGAGGAGCGGAGGAAGAGGAGAGGCUGUACCUGCAGGCCUCUGCUUUCAGGAACCCGGUACCGCAAAACAUCAGGACAUCCACUAAAUAGCCCACAGAAAACCUCUCACCCAGGGCAGGGAAGUUUAAACAAAUACGCUUUAUUCUUAUUUCGAUUCUUAUGAAAACACCUGGAGAAUGAAAACGUUAAAACAGCCUGAAAAUCACUUAAAACGCGACAGAAACAGCGAAGCUGCAGUAAAUUAAAAUCACGCCUGAACGACAGAUAUCCGAAAUAUCGUUUUUUUUAACCUCUUGAAAGAUCGAAUUACGCAACAGAGACACGUCACGUCUGAUCACACGCACUGCAUAUGAAUGACUCGGUCUGAAUGAAACGAACCUGAAAAGUUCUGAAUGGAUGGCACUGCUGUCCCUCCUGCGGUCCCGCAGUGACGCUGUCACAGCGUGACGGUGGUCUCAAAGGGUGGCACGACAGGAGCCCGCAGGAACACCGAGUCCAGACUUUCCACACAGUUUCAUUUCAGCGUUGCUUCAUUUGAAUUUUCUAAUAUUUAUCCAGCUGACAGAAAUUAUUAGAUCUAAGCCAGAAAACGAGGUUUCACACAGCUGCGCUGUUCAGCAUCAGGGUUCUAACAUAUGGUUUGAUGGGCCUGAAUUAAUCACUUGUUGCACACUAGUUAAAAUCAGCAGCCUGUUUUCUCCACAAUACUUCGGAAACAGCUCCGGUGUAUUUUUAACAUCACGGAAUUCAGUCAAAAUAAGAACAAAAAAAGAAAAAACAAGAA